rnacentral:tRNA from 1 species
GGUGCUUUGGCAGAACGGCUAUGCGCCGGGGUGAAAACCCGGAGAUUGUGGUUCGAGUCCACGGGGCACCG